AACCAAUGGAGGCUGCAGAACAGCAAAGAUUUUUGCCUGCUCCUUCCUCUGGAAGCUUCGUCCCAGAGGGGUACUGACCUGAUGCCAGUUGGAACUCUCCUGCAUGAGGAAGAAACUAAAUUCUAGUACUUGGAUGCCAAUUUGCUGAGGACAUGGCACUUCCUGAUAAUCAGCCUGGAAUUCCGAGCAGCAGUUUCACAACCUGUAAUUACACGUUUCUGCCCUUUGCAAUAAGGAAAUACACAGUUUCCUUUCAUUUUCAAGUCUGAGGCUCUUUUGGAUGCUGUAGGAAAGAACAUAGGCUGUUACCUAUGGCAGGUGAUUCCUUUUCUGACUAGGAACUUGGGAGUAGAAUCUUAGAAAACACUUGAUUUAUUGAUGUGUAAUAAACGCAAGAAAGGAGGUGAGCUGA